AUUGAACGCUGGCGGCAUGCUUUACACAUGCAAGUCGAACGGCAGCGCGGGGCAACCUGGCGGCGAGUGGCGAACGGGUGAGUAUUACAUCGGAACGUACCCAGAAGUGGGGGAUAACGUAGCGAAAGUUACGCUAAUACCGCAUACGUUCUACGGAAGAAAGUGGGGGACCUUCGGGCCUCAUGCUUUUGGAGCGGCCGAUGUCUGAUUAGCUAGUUGGUGAGGUAAAGGCUCACCAAGGCGACGAUCAGUAGCUGGUCUGAGAGGACGACCAGCCACACUGGGACUGAGACACGGCCCAGACUCCUACGGGAGGCAGCAGUGGGGAAUUUUGGACAAUGGGCGCAAGCCUGAUCCAGCAAUGCCGCGUGAGUGAAGAAGGCCUUCGGGUUGUAAAGCUCUUUUGUCAGGGAAGAAACGGCUGAGGAUAAUACCUUCGGCUAAUGACGGUACCUGAAGAAUAAGCACCGGCUAACUACGUG
rnacentral:rRNA from 1 species